rnacentral:rRNA from 1 species
GCACAAGCGGUGGAUGAUGUGGAUUAAUUCGAUGCAACGCGAAAACCUUACCUACCCUUGACAUGUCCGGAAUCCCGAAGAGAUUUGGGAGUGCUCGCAAGAGAGCCGGAACACAGGUGCUGCAUGGCUGUCGUCAGCUCGUGUCGUGAGAUGUUGGGUUAAGUCCCGCAACGAGCGCAACCCUUGUCAUUAGUUGCCAUCAUUUGGUUGGGCACUCUAAUGAGACUGCCGGUGACAAACCGGAGGAAGGUGGGGAUGACGUCAAGUCCUCAUGGCCCUUAUGGGUAGGGCUUCACACGUCAUACAAUGGUCGAUACAGAGGGUUGCCAACCCGCGAGGGGGAGCUAAUCCCACAAAGCCGAUCGUAGUCCGGAUCGCAGUCUGCAACUCGACUGCGUGAAGUCGGAAUCGCUAGUAAUCGUGGAUCAGCAUGUCACGGUGAAUACGUUCCCGGGUCUU